CCCUCCCGUCUCCAUCAGGAACAGAAGCUACUGGGCUCUAUCCAUCCUACGGCUCUGAUGAUCCUGCAUCUGUGCCUCUUGCUUCUCGCGCUGAGUCCCACUAGCCAGGAGAUCUGCUCAGCUCCCGGCUCUCUCCCUGCCCCCAUGCUCUACCUGAGCCGGACGUCUGCCCGGCUGGGGGACUCUGUGCUGCUCCAGU